UCGCCAUUGGAGGGGCCCGCGUCGGAUUAGGUAGUUGGUGAGGUAACGGCUCACCAAGCCGACGAUCCGUAGCUGGUCUGAGAGGAUGAUCAGCCACACUGGGACUGAGACACGGCCCAG
rnacentral:rRNA from 1 species